AUGCCUUUAAAUAGGCUAUUUUGUACUAAAAAGAAAUCUUAAGAAUUAAGGAUAUCCGGAUUUCGGCCCCGGCGGUUGGGGGUUCGAAUCCCUCCAGGCGUACCA
rnacentral:tRNA from 1 species